CGUAAGAAAAAAAAAAGAUGUUAUAUAUUAAUACAAAGGUGAUCCAUCAUUGGUUCACCGGUAAAUACAGAUGGGGAAGGAGGUUUGGAUUCCUCUCACAAACUGGGCAGGUCAGGAGAUUCGGUUGUCUCAGCCCGAAGAUAUAUCUAUACUACUCUAUAAGACAGUAGUGUAGACGUCCACAUUCGUAUGGUGCACGGUUCUGCCAGUCUCCUCUCCGCGACGCACGCCGGAGAUCCUCUCCACGACGCACGCCUCCCUCUCCUCGCCCCACCCUCCUCCCCACGCCAUCAGCGCCGCCAUCAUCGGAUCCAGCCAAGACGCCUCCGCCCCACGCGCCCGAGUCGUCGAGGCACACUCCUGCCUGCCUCCGGCGUCCACGCACAUCUCUGCUUCACCUCGGCGCCCGAGUCGUCGCAUGCGUUCGCGGUGGCGUCCAUCCCCGCCGUCGCCCGUGCUCGGCCCGCUGCAGGCCGGCGCGCCCUGGGGCCUCUCGAGCCCCGGCUCCGGAGCCUCCGUCGCCGACGACGCAGCGACCACCACCACUCGCCCUUGCCCCUCUCCCCUCCCGCACCUCUAAAUCAGAUCAUCAUCCGCGCCUCCCCCUUCCAUCCCUCACCUCCUUCGCCAUGCCGCAGCCACCACCUCCGGCGACUGGAGCCUGACCUAGAUGCGAUGGACGACCUCAAUCCCACGCCGCCAGUGGAUUUGGAGCGCUGGCCCUCACCGUCGCGGAGCGGUGGCACAAGGCGGUGGAUAUGCAACCGCUCCCCCAAUCCCCGCCGGCAUUUAGCGCCCCUCCCUCGCUCAUCCACGCGCACGUAGCCGCUGCGUCGUCGACCCCGACCGCCGUCGCAAGUCCGGUCGCGUCGGUGCUCAUGGACUUGCCAUGGUAGGCGAGAUCUGCGGCCAUGGUAGGCGAGAUCCAUGGUAGGCGAGAUCUGCGGCCCCUUCCAUGGUAGGCGAGAUCUGCGGCCAUGGUCAAAGGGCCGUUGGGGCUGGAUUUCGCCGUCGCAACACCGAACUACUGGGUGCACAAGGGCAUUGCCUUCAUCUGCGAGAUCAGCAAAUGGAACCAGCGAAACAGAUAAAGGUCAUGAAAGGAUUCUAGAAACGAUCAACACAGUUGGACAUGACGGACCUCCUUGUGCGGCUCGCCGACACAUACGACACAAGCCAUUGUCCGCCUCCAGCCCGACAUAGGUAGCAGCGGCGAUGACACAUCCUUCCAUCUGCAACAACCCAUGGAGGCCGACGGCGGUGCAUCUAGGGUAUGGAACAACGGUCGCGUGGAUGCCCCUACCCCUCAAGGCAUGUGAUCCACCCUGGCUCCCUCCCUGGAUGCAGCUAGCGCUCGCUGCGGGUGCCCGUGGACAAGCAAUCGCUCGGGAUGGCGGUGGAGGUGGAUGCGAGGUGGGAGCCCAUGGGGGCGCAGGAGUACUACUACUACUGGCGGGCCAUGUACAACGCCCGCGGAAACAGCAACUACAAUUACCGUGGAGUUGAUAUUGAAGGACGCCCGAUUAUGGUGGUUGUUGGUGCACAGUUCCUUUUUUAAUGCCUUGAUCUUGAAUGGUUUGUUCUACAUGUAGUGAUGGUACGGUAAUGUAUCAUGAUGUCCUAAAGCAUUUGAUCAAGUGUCAGUAUGCACUUUAUAAUCAUCUGGGGUGUGUAUAUCAUGUACAUUUGUAUAUCAAGUGUCCUGCUGCCCCACGCUCUAGAAUUUUUUUAGAGCAGGUCAUGCACAUUUGUAGAUCGACAACAACCAGCCUUGUCUCGAUGUUGUGCAGUGCUCGCAUCUUAUGUGCCUUGCCUGGAUGCUUUUGGCGAGAUGUGUGCUUGGAAAACUUCAGGUGCAUCGUCUGGUGAAGCAUGUGUGUCCAAAAGUGAAUAUUCAAAAAGAUAAUGGGGUGCAGAUGAAGAUUAUUGGUACUCAUGUCGAUGCUACAGAAAUUGUCUACGAUGAGGACUCCUACAAUAAGGUAUACAUAGACUGGACUACAGAUUUCAGUCUACCUUUUCUCCAGUGAACUUUCAACUGAUUUCCCAAUAUUCCAUGACUUAUUCCUUGCAAGAUUCAUGCUUCCCCGCAAGUCCCCUCAACUCUGAAGGCAUGCCUGUUUCUGUAUCAUGUUUCCAUUUCAUCCUUGAACUCAUGGAAUCCAUCGAUGGUGUGGAAUUCAGUUUAAAAUUGGAAGUCAAUACUCCUCAGACAAGAAUAGACUUUCAAGAGGAAGGGAUCUGAUCUAGAUCCUCGAAGUUAUAUAUCUGGAAAACAGGCUCUUCAGAUAUCGAACCUCCUUUAUAUAAAUGUUGUUAAUCAGCUUCCAGCAUUUGUUUCAUUUGAGUUGUGUUUACUGCCUAGCUCUCCAUCCAACAAUUGAUAUCUUACUGACUGGUGGUCGAGAUUCAAUUUGCAGGGUAUGAUCUCUCUUGCAAUCACACCUUAUGAAAAAAAAAAUCAUUGCAUUUAAUGGUCACUUGGUUUUGCUUGGGUUAUAUAUACAUGUGUGGGACAUCAGAACAAAAGUAUGUGUUUCUGCUUUAACAGGACAUGACAACAUUGUAUGUUCAGUGUUUGCUCGGCCUAUGGUAAGAAUGCAUUUUAACCUGUCAAGUUCACGAUUCACCACAAUAUUUUCGGCCAAAUGGUACACAAUAUUUCAUGAUGUAGUUUUAUUUGGAGUCACUCCCUCAGUUAACCAAUGGAUUAUUUGAAGCAGUGUCUCUGUUCUAUAGAUACUUUGCUUCUUUGAAAAUACCUGCCAUCGAUUGUUUUACUAAAGUUUAGAGUGUAAUAAUAAGGCAAAUGAGCAACCUUGAUAGAAUUCAUAUGCCAUCAGUAGUUUUACCAUUUAAGCUACACUAUUUUAAAAUAUAUUUUUGCUAUGGUAAGUACUCUUAUGUGUCCUGCUUUACUGUUCAUCCAUUCUCAAGUAUACUCUUUGAUCUUUUGAUAUGUGUGCAGGCCCAGAACAUCUGCAAUUUAUUUUUUGAUAAGUCCUCCAAGAUUUGGUUAGUUGCUUCAUGCUUUCUCUUUUUCUCUCUUAAUACUCUUUGAUCUUUUCUCCAAGAUUUGGGCAAUGAACAAACACGUUGAGUAUGAUAGUGAUGCUAAAAUUAUUGCAAUCGAUUGAAGCCCUACCAUGUGGCAACCAUUGAUCCAUGCCCAAAAUUUGCCUGCCACUGGUGUUCUUAUCCCAACACUCGAUCAACAUGCAAGUAGAAAUGAAGCCUAGAGCCAAACGAUGCGAGAGGAGUAUGGUCUAGACACGAGCCAGUUCACAUAAACCCUUCAGACCCAAGCAGGUACCAGCAGAAUGGCACGCCAGCUAAAGAAAGGUGUCAUGGUGUUGUUCAAACUUCGAGUGGUGUGUGGAAUAGAAGAAUCCCAAUUCCCAACCAUAUUAUUUGUCACGCUUGUUUGCCGGUAGGUACAGGGGAAAUACGACAACAUCAUCGCGGCGGUGAAGAGCUACUACAUGUCGAUGAGCGGGUACACUACCAAUAGUGUCGGUGAAGAGCUACCAAUCUGAAUGAAUGGUUUCAAGUGUGAGAGUGAGCAAUGAGCUUGGUGCAAGACACCCAAAAUAUGCUUAUUUCUCAGUGUGGGCAGUGACUGCAAUCUCUAUACUAAUAUUUAUCAUUCUUGCCAUUGUGAUCCUCUACCUGUGCAACUACACCAGCUACAUGUUGCAUGUUCACAUAUGCACUUUUGUAUUAGUAAUAUCUCUUGUAUAGUGCUUUCCUCCUCUUUAUAUCCAUGAAAUAGAACUCAUUUCUCUCUCAAAUAGAAAUGAAAAAAUGAUUUUGUUUC